CCUACGGGUGGCUGCAGUGGGGAAUAUUGGACAAUGGGGGCAACCCUGAUCCAGCCAUGCCGCGUGUGUGAAGAAGGCCCUCGGGUUGUAAAGCACUUUCAGUGAGGAAGAACGCCUGGUGGUUAAUAUCCAUCAGGAAAGACAUCACUCACAGAAGAAGCACCGGCUAACUCCGUGCCAGCAGCCGCGGUAAUACGGAGGGUGCGAGCGUUAAUCGGAAUUACUGGGCGUAAAGCGCGCGUAGGUGGCUUGAUAAGCCGGUUGUGAAAGCCCCGGGCUCAACCUGGGAACGGCAUCCGGAACUGUCAAGCUAGAGUGCAGGAGAGGAAGGUAGAAUUCCCGGUGUAGCGGUGAAAUGCGUAGAGAUCGGGAGGAAUACCAGUGGCGAAGGCGGCCUUCUGGACUGACACUGACACUGAGGUGCGAAAGCGUGGGUAGCAAACAGGAUUAGAUACCCUUGUAGUC
rnacentral:rRNA from 1 species